CAGCAAUAAGGAAAAUACCAGGUUGUCAUAAUACUUCACAGAAGAAUUUAUUUUUGUUACAACUACAAAAAUCUCCAAGAACAUGGACUGAGCAAUGGAAGUAAUUUCCUAGGUUAUCCUAUACUCAGAGACCAGAACCGAUCGCCUUGCAUAUGAUGUCACCAACUACCAGCGGGAAGAAACGGAAAGGAAAACUUGAAAAGGAGCUUCAAACUUAAAAGAUUCACAGCUCUACAAAAACAAGUUAUAAAUACAAAUGAUCCCCACCAUCCAGUCUAUCUAACCAACCGUUCUCGGUUACUCUUAUUCUCCUCUUCGUCUCUUUAGAGAUCACCAGAUGCUUUGCAGCGUGUGCCUUACCUGCCUCAUUUUUAGAAUUCCAUUAUCCAUCCAGCAAGAA